rnacentral:rRNA from 1 species
GAUCCUGGCUCAGGACGAACGCUGGCGGCGCGCCUAACACAUGCAAGUCGAACGGAGACAGGGAGGAGCUUGCUCCACCCUGUCUGAGUGGUGGACGGGUGAGUAACGCGUGAGUAACCUGCCUUAAAGAGGGGGAUAACGUCUGGAAACGGACGCUAAUACCGCAUGACAUACGGAGAUGGCAUCAUAACCGUAUCAAAGGAGAAUCCGCUUUAAGAUGGACUCGCGUCCAAUUAGCUGGUUGG